GAUGAAGAACGUAGCGAAAUGCGAUAAGUAAUGCGAAUUGCAGAAUUUCCGUGAGUCAUCGAAUCUUUGAACGCACAUUGCGCCCCUUGGUAUUCCAUGGGGCAUGCCUGUUCGAGCGUCAUUUGUACCCUCAAGCUUUGCUUGGUGUUGGGCGUCUUGUCGUAUUACGACUCGCCUUAAAUACAUUGGCAGCCGGCACUUUGGCCUAGGAGCGCAGCACAUUUUGCGAUCGUAGCCCGUUGUACUGGCGUCCAUCAAGAACAUUUACCACGUUUGACCUCGGAUCAGGUAGGGAUACCCGCUGAACUUAAGCAUAUCAAUAAGCGGAGGA
rnacentral:misc_RNA from 1 species